rnacentral:rRNA from 1 species
GACGAACGCUGGCGGCGUGCUUAACACAUGCAAGUCGAACGAAGUGGCGAACGGGUGAGUAACGCGUAAUCAACCUGCCCUUCAGAGGGGGACAACAGUUGAAAACGACUGCUAAUACCGCAUACUGAAGGAGGGGAUUGCGUGUGAUUAGCUAGUUGGAGGGGUAAUGGCCCACCAAGGCGAUGAUCAGUAGCCGGGCUGGUAGGAUGAACGGCCACAUGUGGACUGAGAAACGGCCCAGACUCCUACGGGAGGCAGCAGUGGGGAAACUUCGGCAAUGGACGGAAGUCUGACGGAGCAACGCCGCGUGAGUGAUGACGGCCUUCGGGUUGUAAAGCUCUGUUAAUCGGGACGCGGUACCGGAAUAGAAAGCCACGGCUAACUACGUGCCAGCAGCCGCGGUAAUUC